rnacentral:rRNA from 1 species
CAUGUCUCAGUACAAGCCACAUUAAAGUNAAACCGCUAAAGGCUCAUUANAUCAUUUAUGGUUCCUUNGAUCAUANCAAAUUUACUUGGAUAACUGUGGUAAUUCUAGAGCUAAUACAUGCAAACAGAGCUCCGACUGGAAACAGAAGGAGUGCUUUUAUUAGAUCAAAGCCAAUAGGCGUUAUAUGCUUUCCGUAAGGAUUGCAUUUUCGUCGUUCAUUAAAUUGUUGACUCUGAAUAACUUUUUGCUGAUCGCAUGGUCUAGCACCGGCGACGCAUCUUUCAAAUGUCUGCCUUAUCAACUGUCGAUGGUAGGUUCUGCGCCUACCAUGGUUGUAACGGGUAACGGGGAAUCAGGGUUCGAUUCCGGAGAGGGAGCCUGAGAAACGGCUACCACAUCCAAGGAAGGCAGCAGGCGCGCAAAUUACCCACUCCCGGCACGGGGAGGUAGUGACGAAAAAUAACGAUACGGGACUCAUCCGAGGCCCCGUAAUCGGAAUGAGUACACUUUAAAUCCUUUAACGAGGAUCAAUGGAGGGCAANUCUGUGCCAGCAGCCGCGGUAAUUCCAGCUCCAAUAGCGUAUAUUAAAGUUGUUGCGGUUAAAAAGCUCGUAGUCGAAUUUGUGUCUCGUACCGCUGGUUCAUCGUUCGCGGUGUCAACUGGCGUGAUACGAGACGUCCUGCCGGUGGGUUUAGUGCAUGCUAGUUAAAUUCAUUGAUUUGUUUUGUAUUUGUACGGGUGGCCUUAAAACCACUUGUCUGUGCAAGCGGUCUUUGGAUAAUUAGUAUUGUGCGGCCCAAAUUUUUAAUCCUGCCGUGUUGCUCUUGAUUGAGUGACGAGGUGGGCCGGCACGUUUACUUUGAACAAAUUAGAGUGCUUAAAGCAGGCAAAAUUUUCGCCUGAAUAUUCUGUGCAUGGAAUAAUAGAAUAGGACCUCGGUUCUAUUUUGUUGGUUUUCGGAACUCCGAGGUAAUGAUUAAUAGGAACGGAUGGGGGCAUUCGUAUUGCGACGUUAGAGGUGAAAUCUUGGAUCGUCGCAANNNNNNNNNNNNNNNNNNNNNNNNNNNNNNNNNNNNNNNNNNNNNNNNNNNNNNNNUAUUAAGUUCNANGCNAUCANAUACCNCCCUAGUUCUAACCGUAAACUAUGCCAUCUGACGAUUCGUCGACGUUCCAUUAUUGACUCGACGGGCAGUUUCCGGGAAACCAAAGUUUUUGGGUUCCGGGGGAAGUAUGGUUGCAAAGCUGAAACUUAAAGGAAUUGACGGAAGGGCACCACCAGGAGUGGAGCCUGCGGCUUAAUUUGACUCAACACGGGAAACCUCACCAGGCCCGGACACCGGAAGGAUUGACAGAUUGAGAGCUCUUUCUUGAUUCGGUGGGUGGUGGUGCAUGGCCGUUCUUAGUUGGUGGAGCGAUUUGUCUGGUUAAUUCCGAUAACGAACGAGACUCUAGCCUGCUAAAUAGGCGCAAUAAGACAUCGCAAAGGCCAGUCGGUUUGAUUUAUGGGUGGUGGAGUUGCGUUUCGGCGUUUACUUCGCUCCCUUGUCAGAUUGUGCUUGGUUUUUACUGUCGGCGUAUAAAUAAUUCUUCUUAGAGGGACAGGCGGCUUUUAGCCGCACGAGAUUGAGCAAUAACAGGUCUGUGAUGCCCUUAGAUGUUCUGGGCCGCACGCGCGCUACACUGAAGGAAUCAGAGUGUCCUUCCCUGGCCGAGUGGCCCGGGUAACCCGNUGAACCUCCUUNGUGCUAGGGAUUGGGGGUUGCAAUUGUUCCCCAUGAACGAGGAAUUCCCAGUAAGCGNGAGUNAUAAGNUNGNGUUGAUUAGUGC